GAUAAUAUACGUCAUACUAACUUAACUACGAAAUAUAACAAUGAACUAAAAUUAAAAACAUACAAAACUUAUAAGACCAAAGGCUCCUGAAUUGGGACAGGCGCACAAACGCGGCGGGGUAAACAUGUUUCGUGCGAUCACAACCCUUCCCCUAUACAUCUAGUAAAUGUAGAAAAAAACAAACCCACAGCAAUACACACAGUUAAACGCACUUUAAAAUAAAUCCAAGUCCCAGGUCAGAAAAGGAAACAAAAGAAAUCAAAAUGACAAUGACAAUAAAUUAACAAAGUACAGUACUAUAUAUAAAGCUAGCAGUUACUGACAAAUGCCAGCUCCAGACCUCAA
rnacentral:lncRNA from 1 species